GAUGAACGCUGGCGGCGUGCCUAAUACAUGCAAGUCGAGCGAACGGACGAGAAGCUUGCUUCUCUGAUGUUAGCGGCGGACGGGUGAGUAACACGUGGAUAACCUACCUAUAAGACUGGGAUAACUUCGGGAAACCGGAGCUAAUACCGGAUAAUAUUUUGAACCGCAUGGUUCAAAAGUGAAAGACGGUCUUGCUGUCACUUAUAGAUGGAUCCGCGCUGCAUUAGCUAGUUGGUAAGGUAACGGCUUACCAAGGCAACGAUGCAUAGCCGACCUGAGAUGGUGAUCGGCCACACUGGAACUGAGACACGGUCCAGACUCCUACGGGAGGCAGCAGUAGGGAAUCUUCCGCAAUGGGCGAAAGCCUGACGGAGCAACGCCGCGUGAGUGAUGAAGGUCUUCGGCUCGUAAAACUCUGUUAUUAGGGAAGAACAUAUGUGUAAGUAACUGUGCACAUCUUGACGGUACCUAAUCAGAAAGCCACGGCUAACUACGUG
rnacentral:rRNA from 1 species